UUAUCAUAGGACGAAUCUACGCAAAUCUCCAUUGAGUUCAUACAUAGUUCAAAAAGAGUUUGUUUAAAAUUUAUUCGACCAAAAAUGCUUUCUUAAGAAUCUAUCUACAGAGAGCUCUCAACAACUGUAUAUUGAAGGGAUCAUUGAGCUAUAGAAAUUCACGUUCACUAUGGUUCUGGAUAUCGAGUAAGUGGACAUCGCGAGCCAGUAGACAUCAAGUUAUGGAGAAUUUACUUUAUUUUAAAAAAAUCUCGAAAUCAAACGAGCUAAGUGAUUUGUAUAUUUUCUACCAGUCUGAAUAUACAUGAGCAUAAUGAGCAUGAGAAUGAUUGACCCCCACAGUUACUGCUCUGUUAUUGCCAGAUCAGCUGAUAUUACACAGAGAACCAACAGAUGAUGUUUGGGACAAACAUUCCUCCUUAAUGUGUAAAAACUGGAGAUCUAAUAUUUAGCAAUAUCAGCUCCAGCCGUGUCCGAAUGCAGGUCAAAUUGGGAAUGGGAAGGAAUGUGUUGACGUGAUACUCGCUGUGAAGGAAACCGAGAAGUCUCUGCGCUUCCACGAUAUAUCGCUGAAAUGUUGGAUGAGGGGAAAGGUUUCCAGCAGGGAUCAUUUUGGUAAACUCGAAAAGAACUAAACUUAUCUUUGUUUGCUUCUUCCUUCAUCAAAUGCCUCCAAUGUUAACCAAAUUCCCGAUUUCCAUUUGACGUUUGUCAGCUGCAAGCUUCUGGCACUUGAAACACUUGAAUGAAGUCCUUCCUCGGCAACAUGAUCGCACCGAACGAUGGGACGUUGAGGGUUUGGUGGCUUGACCGUGGUUCCAGGAACGAUCUGGGGGAUAAGGCAGAGACGUAGAGCUUGUAGCUCCUGCACUCGCUGAUAUCCGAUGAACUUCCGUUGCUGUUGAUUGGCCAACAUCUUGAAGUUUGGUUUUGGUGGCGAUCCGGAACCGGACGAUCGAAUCCAGGUACAUCUAUGGUAGUUGUUGAUCGGAUCAGCACCCAAGUAUAAAUACAACACCGGACGACGCCAUACAUUUAAAAAGUUAAUCACAGGUAAUCACUGGAACUUCGAUUCGCGAAAAAUGUGCUCCAAUUACGAGACAAACUAUCACACAUAAGUUAUUAAUUUUCAAUUUGUAUAAAAAAUUUCAAACAUGACAGAGAAAACAAACGUCACGUCCGUAUGCACACACAGCCUACUCCGAUCUUCUCUUUUCUACAAGUCUGAAAAUACAGGAAAUUAAGAUGCUGCGAAAUUCUAGUACUACACUAGGAAGGGUCUAUCGAAGACUAAAAAAUAAAUAAGACCGGCAACUCUGCCAAAAAACAGGAGACAAUAACGGCAACGCCUCUACUGAGCAAAAGUGGAACCCGUGUAUGAUGGUGUGUGUUAAUUCACGAGUUCAUUCACAUACAUAGGUAGAAAUGAGCCCUUUAGGGCAUUCGUAUGGUGCAUUAGUAAAAUGCAUGCCUGUUCCGCACGGCUUUGUCACCUGGCCACAGCGGGGUGAGUUAAGUUGUGACGCUCGGCAACUUGGCACAGUACUCGCUGACUAUUUGAAUGUCAUUGGCCAAUCCGACACUGUUGUUAUCAUUCUCUGGAAGGGGUUGGUCGAUUCCAAGAAUUGUUAGAGCAUACAGAGGAUCACUAUCCGAUGGUUUCAUGUUCUGACAACAUCUUAAAUGGAAAUAUAUUCUUUAUCAAUACGUACCGUUUGGGAUUGCAGUCCUUCAACCUUUCAUAUUCAUUUUCUCCACCAUUAGAUCCUGCUACGCCUUCCGUGCGAUCGUUUUGUAUGUACCGGAUCUUGCUUCUUCUUGAAUCCUUGAAUUUUCACCAGCUUCUAAAUGAUGAUGGAAGCUUCCAAUUCCUUAUCAUUGAUUGCUUCCAACAGGCAAAAUAAACAAUAUUUCGGAUCCUCGUUCACAAGUAAAACUUACUUUCACUAGGUAUCGAUCCGAGUUUCAAUCCUCUACUUGAUCCACCAUGACAAGUUUUUCGGUUUGGAGUCGGAAAGCCACCAGCUUGCUGUGAUUAGGAUACAAAUUGCCGUGAAAUUUUGUAGAGCAAAACAAAAACAACAACGAGUAUAGUGUUAUGAUUAUUCGAUUCGGUGACGUUAGGUCGCACACACAGUCACUAUUUAUGAGCAGUCUCACUAACACUUGUGCUUCAAAGUUCAACCUUUGAUUGACAGAGGCGCUGUUAUCAAUGACGUUUGACAUUUGUAUUGUAGAAGGGAAUUUUGUAGUUUUCGGUCUAGUAUAAGAGAGGUGUGGAUUCAAAACGAACUGCCUUGGCAACCUAUGCCUAUAAAAGAUUGACCGAUAAAAUGAGGGGUUCGUGGAUUUCCUAUGUUUCGAGGGGUGCAUCGAUUAGCUUGGGACCGAAGAGAGUACCAGAGAUUAGCCAAAAAGUUGAGCACGUUUCUUCGAGACCUUUUGGUCUUAGAGUUACCUCUAUGUUAGAGUUACCUCUAUGGUAUUCCUUUGUUAUCAGUUCAUUAUCGUACCAGUUCAUGUCCUUCAGAUCCAUUAAAUGAGUUUGCUUUAUUGGCUCCGAAAGAACUACCAUUCUUUUUAAAUGAAUGGCCGUUCUUUUGUUCAUUUAGAGGAACUAACCAACAAACAAUUUUAGCUGCAGAUUAGCUUAUACUGCCAAAAUUUGCCUUAUGCAGCUAAUUAUUGGCUGUAUAAGCUGAGCUGCAGCUAAAAUUGUUAGUUGGGUAGUUGUUUAGAACAGUUCGUGAACGGAUUGCCCAACUCUACUCGAAAUAGGCUCAUAAAGUACGAUUAACUCUUAUUGAUCACAAGAUUCGAGCCAACUUAAUGUAUUUCAAAACAACCACUCAACAAAGAACUCAAUGUGUACUACCAUUGAAGCUUUGAAUGCUACCCAACAUGAUUUCUGUAUAAUGACAAUUAAUGUUGACAGAAAUCCGGAAAAUGAUUGAAAAUCAGUUGCGGGUUGCAACAAUUAGGUCACCACAGGCCCAAGAGUAUUGAAUCAACUGGCAGGGGAUAUUUUCGUAAUUAUGUUUAUUUUCAAUUCAUAAAAUAAUUCCAAAUGCUUACGAGAAUGCCUUGCAGCGAAGACACCAUACCAAAUUUGCCAAAAUCCAAGCGUCAGAUAUAGUAGCGCCAACAAUCAAUACGAAACUAACGAUUUUAAAUUGGCUCACCACUUUAGUAGCCUAUUGGUCCCAAGCAAACGAUUAACGUACCCUAUUCUAGUUGAAAUUCUAUUACUACACUAUGUUUGUUUUGAUUCGCUAUGAAAGUUUGACAGAUAACAUCAGGGGUGUGUGGAUUCAUGCAGAACAUGCAGGGGUGAGUGAAAUAGCUUGGGACUGCUUGGG